AGAUGAAAUUUACAAAAAUAGAGUCAUGGUAAUUAACUAAUAUUUGUUGUUUUGAUAUAUUUUUUUGAAUAUUUUGUUAUAAUUAACAUUGUUAUUUUUUGAAGGAAAAAUUUAAUGUUGACGAAGGACAUGUGAAGAAUUUCAUUUUGAGAAACAUUGGAAAAAAAUGGAAUGAUAAUAGAUGCAAGUUAUACCAUGAGUACUAUGAUCCCACUAUUGGUUGAGAGGCAAAUCUUGCAAAGCAUCCACCAGGAAUCUCAUAAGACCAGUGGGCAAGUUUCAUUGAUUAUCGUGCACGCGAGAAAACUAAGGAGAUGUGUCUACAAAAUAGUGAAAAUCGAUCCAAAUUGACAAUCCCACACACUAGAGGAUCAAAGAGUCUGACAAGAAAAAAACAUGAGAUGGAAAUUGAGAGUGGUCAGCCAGUGAGUAGGGGUUUAUUAUGCAUUGCGACACAUAAGAAGAAAGACGGAUCUUUUGUGAAUGCAGGAGCACGAACUAUAAGCGUAA